rnacentral:rRNA from 1 species
UACGUAGGUGGCAAGCGUUGUCCGGAAUUAUUGGGCGUAAAGCGCGCGCAGGCGGUUCUUUAAGUCUGAUGUGAAAGCCCACGGCUCAACCGUGGAGGGUCAUUGGAAACUGGAGAACUUGAGUACAGAAGAGGAAAGCGGAAUUCCACGUGUAGCGGAUGAAAUGCGUAGAGAUGUGGAGGAACACCAGUGGCGAAGGCGGCUUUCUGGUCUGUAACUGACGCUGAGGCGCGAAAGCGUGGGGAGCAAACAGG